rnacentral:rRNA from 1 species
GACGAACGCUGGCGGCGUGCUUAACACAUGCAAGUCGAACGGCAAGGCCCUGCUUUUGUGGGGUGCUCGAGUGGCGAACGGGUGCGUAACACGUGAGUAACCUGCUCUUGACUUUGGGAUAACUUCAGGAAACUGGGGCUAAUCCCGGAUCGGAGCUCCUGCAGCAUGGUGGGGGUUGGAACGUUUCGGCGGUCGGGGAUGGAUGCGCGGCUUAUCAGCUUGUUGGUGGGGUAGUGGCUUACCCAGGCAUUGACGGGUCGCCGGCCUGUGAGGGUGGCCGGCCACAUGGGGACUGAGAGACGGCCCAGACUCCUACGGUAGGCAGCAGGGGGGAAUAUGGCACAAUGGGCGGGAGCCGGAGGCAGCAACGCCGCGGUCGGGAUGACGGCCUUCUGGGUGUAAACCGCUUUCGCCUGUGACGAAGCGGGAGUGACGGUAAUGAAUAAAGAAGCACCGGCUAACUACGUG